rnacentral:rRNA from 1 species
GAUGAACGCUGGCGGCGUGCUUAACACAUGCAAGUCGAACGAUGAAGCCCAGCUUGCUGGGUGGAUUAGUGGCGAACGGGUGAGUAACACGUGAGUAACCUGCCCUUAACUCUGGGAUAAGCCUGGGAAACUGGGUCUAAUACCGGAUAGGAGCGUCCACCGCAUGGUGGGUGUUGGAAAGAUUUAUCGGUUUUGGAUGGACUCGCGGCCUAUCAGCUUGUUGGUGAGGUAAUGGCUCACCAAGGCGACGACGGGUAGCCGGCCUGAGAGGGUGACCGGCCACACUGGGACUGAGACGCGGCCCAAACUCCUACGGGAGGCAGCAGUGGGGAAUAUUGCACGAUGGGCGCAAGCCUGAUGCAGCGGCGCCGCGUGAUGGAUGACGGCCUUCGGGUUGUAAACCUCUUGCGGUAGGGAAGAAGCGAAAGUGACGGUACCUGCAGAAGAAGCACCGGGUAACUACGUG